CCUUCUGCCUGGGGCUCAGAUCGCCGACUCUGCCGCUCAUCGUGGCUCGGGCUCGGGGCGCGGCGGUUGCGGAGCUGAUGGAGCUCGGGCUCGUUCUCCGCCGCGGGAGUAAAGUCCCAGCCUUUGGCCCGGGCCGCGGGGCUGGCAGCCAAGCCCCGCCUCUUAAAGGAUCCCGAGGGGUGGAGUGCGGAGGGAUGCUCGGGGCGCGCAAGCCUCCGGCGGGUCCGGGGUGUGCUCCUGCGGCGGAGACCCCGGCAGGAGGCGAGCAGGGGUGCCCCCGCGGGGCCGAGGCCAGUGGACGUGAAAAAGAUGGGGACACAAGCCAAGAAAAGGGAAGUGGCUUGCCUGGAAGAACAUAGUAGAAAGAGUGACACCGCUGUCCCUGGCAGCUCCCCACUCAGCUCCAGAAGUGAAGCAAGCUGGUAUCUGGGGGCUUGGCUCAUCUAGAGGGGCCCAGAGUGCUGAACAUCCUGUCUGCCCAUCCCUGAGAGGAGGGAGGCCCAAAGGGUGUAUCCUUGCAACCCUGUCAUUGGGGCUGACAGAUGGGCUGGGACAUUACAGAACUGGAGAAACAAGACUCUCUGUGGACAUCAAGGGACCAGCAUAGUGCAUUUUGCAACUUUCGAAGAGUGAUUUCUUAAGUGAUGAUGAGUUGGGCCAUCUUCACACAGGGCUGCUCUACACUUACCCAGGAAAUGGUUCUCAGCCAGAAUCGCACAUGAGAGUCACCUGCAGUGCAAGGUUCUUGUCAUCACCAGCAACAAGGUCCACCUCCAGAGAUAAUGAUUCUGUUGAUUUGGAAGCAUCAGUAUUUCAAUUAUAGGAAUAAUUGGUUGCAAAUACUUUCUCCCCAUUUGUGGCUUUCCCUACCACUUUAUUACCAGAUUUUGAUUAACACGAGUUUUUCAUUUUAUUGUGGAUGCAUUAUUUUCAAUCUUUUCCUUUAUAGUCUGCUUUUAUGUAGUAAGAAUUCUCUCCUGACCUUGAAGUAAACAGGAUAGGCUUUUAUGUUUCUUUCUAAAAAUGCCUUAAGUAUUACUUUUCAUAUUUAGAUCUUUAAUUCACAAGGAAUUGAUUUUUCCAGUACAAUGAGCAGUAGAGGUCCAAUUUCAUUUCUUUUCCUUAUGGGUAACUCAUUUUCUUGGCAAGAUUUGCCAGUCACAGUGCCCCCUCUCCCCAACUGCAGCGCUCCCCCUGACAAAGCCACAUUUCUAUGUAUAGGUCAGUUUCUGCCUUCACUGUUUGAUGCUCCAUUUGUCUGUCUUUGGACUUACAUCAGACUAUUCUCUCCAUCUAAUUCUUCAGGAGCAUCCUGACAAUUCAACGUUAGUGGUUAUAUGGGUGUUUACUAUAGAACAGUUUUAAUUGGGGCACCUGGGUGGCUCAGUUGGUUAAGCAUCUGCCUUCUGCUCAGGUCAUGAUCCCGGAGUCCUGGGAUCAAGCCCUACAUUGGGAGUCCCUGCUCAACAGGGAGUCUGCUUCU